GUCUUUGCUGCACAAUCCGGCAGCCCUUAUAUGUAACAAAACAUUGCUUCUAGAACAUUCUUGCAAUUACAAAUUCGCUAACUAGUUGCUUUUGGCAGUUUAUCGUUGAUUCGAUUUUGUUCUAUCAUCUAUAUAACUAUCGAUAGUCCCAUCGGCUGUUUUGCAACUUUACUUUAUAGCAUCAAAAGGCGUUUAUAAAAAAGGAACCAGGAACUAUGUUGUUUUCUUGUAAUUCAAAGAAAUAAUAUAUAACUGUAUUAACUUAUUUGUCAUGCUCACUGCAGUUCAUAAAUAUCAACAAGUUAUAAUGUCUGGAGAACUCACCGAAGAUGAAAUCAUUUAAAAUUGCGUAACUGACGGGAAUGAAAGUGACGAUGAUGCUGAUCAAUCACCGAGUUCGGAUAGAGAAAUUGAAACUAUGCCAGGCAUGAAGCUUUAGAGGCUUUGGAGACGCUCCACAAGUUUUUCGAAUACUCGGCGGUUGGUGAUAAGACUAUAUUUGAUAAAAUAUAUGAACUCGAAAAGCAUACAAUACCCAUAGUAUAAACUUAGAGACAGAAAAAAAGUUGACUCAUUUUUUUUAAAUAAAAUUGCCUGUUACUUGCUUCUUUGUAUUUAUGCAUUUUAAUAA